GAAUCAACACUAGACAAUUAAACAACUAAAUUGAGCCUUGACUAAUAAAUCUAGGCAAGAAUGAACAAAAAUUGAGAAUCCAGGAAAAUAAGAUAGAAAAGUUGGCUGGCACUCCACACAAAAUGAAAGAACCUAAGGCAUAGAUAAAACCUACUGAACUUACUGCUUUAUGCAACCAUUCAGCCCUUUGGAUCCCCAUAGGGUUCACACUCACACUCAUCCCUCUAAAUGUUUUCAAAGCCUUUAGAACGUAAAUCCCAUGCAUAAAGUCCUUUUGAAAUUCUACAAUUACACCCCACUUCCCAAGUGCAAUUUGUAAUUAUGAAAUGACUUAUACGUUUCAUGAUGAUUAUGAGAAUGAAAAAUCACAAUAUAUUACAAAUGGAUUAAAGCAAAGUUGUCAAGUGCACAUCAGGCUCCAGGUGCAACAUGCUCAAAGCCUAGUGCCUCUAACACCCAAAGGCGUGCACUGUCACUAAGGUGCACGCCUCAGAUGGUGCAAGGUACACGCCUAGGCAUUCCAUUGAUACAUUUGUGGCUUUUCUCUUGUUAAUUAUGAAGAUCAAAUCUCCAUCAUUUGAUCCACUUUAUAAGUAAUCUUACCAUAAGCUUAUCCACACCAAAUCACAUAAUUAAGAAAAAAAGAUAGAAAUGACAGACUUAAAGAUCAAAUUGAAUGUCGAAAGCUUAGGGCUUUUAUUUUCUUCCUUGAACAAAUAAACAAGAUUGAGCUUACCAAAUAAAUUUCCUCUUAGAUGAUGAGGAUGAAGUUGAGUUUGAAGACAACAAUUUAACUUGUGGUAUGGUUGCUAAAGCUACUAGAAUCGAAGAGAAUGUCUAUUAGCACAGAAGUGAAAAAAGACAAAAAUGAUCUACCUAUAUCCACUCCGUGUUAGGCCUAAGGAAAUGGCAA
rnacentral:misc_RNA from 1 species